GGCCUGCCGCAGCUCGGGCAGGGAGUCGUAGUACUCCCGGGCGUUGUACCUGUGGGGAGAUGGCAGCCUCGUGGGCACACGCUGGGGCCGUUUGUGCCUCAGGCCCACGACAGCCAGACACGUGGUUGCUAGAGGACGUACAGGUCACAUGCAGUCCUCCGAGAGAGGAUGCUCAAGCAGCCCCACCCCCGCCCCCAGUGCCAGGAUGUUGCAGAAGAAAAUGACAUGUGAAACCAAGCUGGAGAGACACCCUGCGACCAUUAGGGAGUCUGGGGAGAGGGAGGCGUGUGGCAGACAUGGGACAGGGCCGAAAGGGCCAGCGCUCACGGGCUGACAAGGUUCCGACUGUUUGGGUUCAGCAGCUGGUGCCUGAGGCCUCAACAACUCCCCUGAGGGAUUUUAGGCAACUAGGCAACUUCAGUUGCACAGAAUUAGGCCGGGCUGGGACCCCUCACAGUAUCCAAGGGUGUGAAAAACAAGCAGAGGAGAUCUGAGGUCUUGAGAGGGACACACACCCUUUCCGAUCCAGGGCUUCCACGUCCUCCACCCGCAAGCCAAAGAUGAAGAGGUUCUCGGCCCCAGCUUCCUCAGCCAUCUCCACGUUGGCUCCGUCCAUGGUGCCGAUGGUGAGGGCCCCAUUGAGCAUGAACUUCAUGUUGCCUGUGCCCGAGGCCUCGGUGCCCGCGGUGGAGAUCUGCUGUGACAGGUCGGCGGCGGGGAUCACUGCAAGGCGGCGAGAGCAAGACCCGUCAGCCAUGAACCGCUCAACACGAGAGCAAUGGGAACAGCACAGCAACACCAUGCACUGACCACACCACCUGUACGGCUCCCUUUUUUGACCCAGGGCACCCUGAGGCAGAGGAUCCACAGUGGAAACGCCUGAGAAGCCCUGCAGGUGGCAAAGGACCUUUGUUCUGGAACCUUCCGCGGACCAGGGCCAAAUCAAAGCCUGGUGUUGUCAUCAUUCCCUUGUAUCCUGACAUCACUGCUGUCUUAUUCGAUCAGCCCCGCAGACUCCUUAAAUGGCUUAAAGAGGAAUCCGACUCACAGCACCAAAGGACUGGGGACAGCGGGGGGACAAUCUUCUUGUGGCCACACGCACCGAAGUCACUCUGUGCCGUUUACAGACUGGCAUUGUGGCCAAGACACAACCCCAUCCAUGGCCCUGCAGCUUCUCCCAAGUGUGGGUUCCCUGCGUGAGUUUCUCCAUGUGGCAGCAGGAACGCAGCCUCCGUCCUGCCUGCCUUGGCAUCCCUGCUCCCACGUCCUCAGCUCGUUCUCAGAGCUAAUGCUGCUUCCCUAACCCAGCUGAAGGGCACUCGGGGUCAGCCAAGACCAGAGCCCAGCCCCUUCUUCAAGGUCAAGUCCAGGUGCCAGGAUAGAGACACAGGCACCCCCGGCCCCUCAGGCAGAGGGACAUGGGCAGACGGGAUGGUGGACACGUUACCACAGCCAGUCCAAGAGCUGGGGGAGGGUGUGGGGCCCAACUCCAGGCUGGCUGUCCCCAAGGUCAGUUCUAAGGAAGCGCAGGAACUGGCCUGGGAGUGCCAGGCAGCGGCCGUAAGUUGCUUUAGAAGCUCAGUGAAACACUAACCCCGACCCAACCCCCGAGCCACACAUUGUCCAUGGCAGUGGCGGGACCACAGGGAUGGUCCUGAUCUGCCUGCAACGGAGGAGGAGGGAGUGCGUGAGCCUGCCCUUCACUCAACGCCUGGAGGGCAGCGCACAGUCUCAUGGAUCAGAGGGGCUGCUACUCGGGCCACAAGUCCAGGCUCAGGUUUCCCAGCACUUCCUGCCAGGUCUCCGGAAGUGGCUGGCUUAGAAGGGCCUGUCCAGCUCAGGACAGCUAUGCUCCGAGGCACAUCUGGCCACAGGCCCUUCUCCAGAUGGCAACACACACCCAGUACCCCCAAAGUGGAGUGGCCCCAGGCUAAACCCUCCCGGAGCAGGUGCAGGACGCCAGGCCAGAGUGGACAGGUGGGGAUGAGCAGAAGCACCCUCUGGGGGACGGGGAGGGCCAGCAAGAGGGAGCCCCGGGGCAGAGGAGCGAGGAGGGGGAGCAGUGGGAAGUUCAGAGACCAAGGAUGUGUGAGACCGAGGACGACCCACACACUCGGUGGCAGCAGGGCUCCCCCAGAGCCAGGCCAGGGGGUGGGGGGCCCUCUGGCUGGGCAGCCUGGUGUUGGGGCUGUUAAUCCGUGUGAAAGCAAGACAGGCCCUGACCAUAGAGGACCACUGGCUGCGCCCAGGUAGGGCAGGCUCACCUUUCUCGGCCAAGGACACUCUGUAGUUCUCUAGGAAGAUCACUUUGAGCCUGUCGCCCACAACCGGAUCGUGGUUGACGACGUCGCCGAUGGACGUGACCAGCUUGAUGAUCAUCUUGGCCAUGUGGUAGCCGGGCGCCGCCUGGAAAGGGGGAGGGGCGCUCAGCAGACACCCUGUGCUCAGGGGCACGGCAGGGUCGCCGGAGCCCGGGCUGCACACGCCCAGCCGAGUGGCUCUGCCAGCGGGGGGGUCCCACGGCAGGGGAGGGGUGGGCUGAGGCCACGGCAUCCCUGCGUGUCCUGCCCUCAACCUGGCAGACGGACCCACAGAGCGCGGCGCCCCACCCGCUUCCUCGGCUUCAACCGAGCGCCUCUCAUGACGGCACCUCACCCACGUGCACAAAUCUGUCAACCUCAAGCUUGGUUUUCUGAUUCUAGUUGGUUUUUUCAAAAAUGGAGAGAGGGAACAAGGACCUCUGAGAACUGACUACCGACUUAUAGGAAACGCAGGGAACCAAGGAAAGUACUAGGAGAUACCAGAGGGACGUGGUUUGGGGAAGACACACAACCCGAUUUCUGUAACAAAUUGCAGGGGAAAAAAAGAGGGGGACGUGGAGAAAAACCUACAGAUGAAGAGAUUUAAGAGACACAGCCGCCCGUCACCAUGUGAGAACCUUGCUGGGUCCUGAUUCAAACAAGCUCAAGGUAUUUGUAGCUGUCACAAGACCGCUGCGUGUGGCCCUGGCUGGAUAUUUAAUGAUGUGGAGGAAUUCUUGUCAAGUGUUUUAGGUGUGAUGGUGGCGCUGUGUGGUUUUGCAGGAAAACAUCACUGUGAAGACAACUGAUUAAGUUCUUAGGGCUGAAGUGUUAUAAUGUCUGUAAUCCAUCUACUAUGAAAUGGUUCAGCAAAAGUCUGGGGGACAGGUUUGUGGAUGUUCUACACUUCUUUUUUUCUUUUUAAAAAUGUUAAUUUUUAAAAAAUUAACAUUUUUUAACUUUUUGAAAGUCCACAUCUCUAAAAUGCAUACAGAAAUACUGACAAAACAGCAUGCUGGGGUGGGGUGGUGGUGGAAUGAAUUGGGAGAUUGGGAUUGACAUAUAUACACUAAUAUGUAUGAAACAGAUAAAAAAAAAAGAAAAGAAAAAGAACCCCAGCAUGCUGUCCGGAGUCUGCUUUAGAAACAUCAGGAGUCAGGGGGCCGGGGGACGGUGGCAGAGACAGAACAAGACGGGCCUGCCUGUGAGGUGCCUCCACCUUCAUAUGUGCUCAAGUGAGAGGCGAGGACAGUCCUGGGCCCACCUGCAGCCCCCGUGAAGCAGCUGUGCCCAGGCUUCUGGGAAAAGUGGCAGAGGGUGGGGACGCGGGCCCUAGAGCGCGGAGCCGGGUGAUGGGACCCACUGAUGCCUGCCGGCGAUACGCUGGGACUCUUGAGAUCCCACGUCCAAAAGCACAUGUAAAUAAAACGAAUAAGGCCGGGCUGAGCCGAGAGCAGGCGCACGUCUGGCUGACGAAGCAGCCAGCGACUCACGCCUACUUGGCGCACCAGUGCAGGGGAGGCGUGGAAAUCCGGCAGUUACAAGAGAAAUGGCGCUGCCCCAUGAGAGCCCAGUAGAGACUGGCCCUUGGGGCUGGGGACCCCACUCCCCUGGGCCGGGCAGGCAGGGGCCCCAUCCAGCUCCCUCCUGUGGCUGAGCUGAUGGAGCCUGAGCUGGCCCAGAGGCACACCUGGGGCCAGGACCUCUGGGCUGUGUGUGCAGGUUGGCGCCCGGCCACCCACAGCAUCCAGCCCCGAUGCAGAGACGCUGCUGAAAAGCACGGUGGUUUGUGCAUCCCCGACCAACGCCAAGCAGGAACCAAGAAGACGUCCCCUCACCUUGCCCCCGAUCAUGACGGUCCUGGGCACAAAGGUCUGGGCUGGGUCCUUCUUUAUUCCUGCAGGACAAACAAAAAGAGAGCCACGUGAAGCCCCUGGAGCCAGACAUGCCUGAGCCCUGGGACAGGCCUCAGUGACAGUGUCUUCAGAGGCCAGCCCGACACAGGUGCUGCACUGCCAGGAGCUCCCGCUUACAGAAUUCUACACUUGGUCCAGGUUGGUUUGGAAGGCCAGCCAGGAGCAGACUCUUCCAGAAAGUUCAGUGGAAAAGCUGUGCCUUUGUGUCCAGAACAGCCCAACACAGGAGCUUCUCUGGGUCUGGUCACCAGGACUGAAGGCCCUUGCAUGUGAUGGGUACUCAAAAAUGGGGUGACCUUGGGAUGGUGAUGAUUCACCGUCAGCCUGCGGGAGGUGUCAGUGAGACCCCAAGCCCCCUCCGUCACUGGGACAGAGGCUAAGAAGCCCCCCAGACCUUUUCUGUACAGGAGCAGACAGCUCACCUCCAGCCCCAGCAGAAUGAGAUGUCCUCACCAGGCCACUGGUUUCCAGAUUUCAGCUGGGGGGUGGGGGCAGGGAGUGUCUACAGAAGUGACAGGCUGCCCUAGACGGCUUUCACCAGAGGCAGGAAUUGGCCGCAAGGUUUACAGGAGCCACUAAAGGGUCGCGGCUGAUCUGUAACCUCUGUCUUCAGGUUCUAGUAGGAAUAUGACCGUCCCUUAGUUCUGAAUCUUCCCGCUUCCAGAUUGUGGACAGAGUAACAAAGAGAACAGGAAAAAAAUAAAGCCAAAACCCCACAAACUACAUUUUUACUAAAACUAGUAAAGAAGAAAAAUACGCUAACUCCAGAUCAUUGGGCAAGUCCUCCUGGGUCAUGGGAUGGGUGGGAGACAGGGCUGUGAACUCAGGGUCUCAGGAACCCCAGCCUCCCGGGGGCUGUGAGCGGGGGAAGCGGAGGCAGGAAAGAGCCCCAGGGGGCCGGGCGGGCAGACCCUGUCGGCACCCCUCCUACAGAGAAACCUUGGAAAGGGGGUCUGGACAUCCUUGUGGACAGAGGCCCACAGGGCCAUGACGCCUCCUGAGCCAGCCUUGACUUGGAGCCCCAGAGAGGCAUCACAAGCUGGGGAGGCCUGCGGCUGCCUUGAGCUCACGAGGCCCCGGCCAGCUCCUCAGACACGAGUGACCAACCCGAACACACAGCU